rnacentral:rRNA from 1 species
UACGGAGGAUGCAAGCGUUAUCCGGAUUCAUUGGGUUUAAAGGGUGCGUAGGCGGACUAUUAAGUCAGUGGUGAAAGCCUGCAGCUUAACUGCAGAACUGCCAUUGAUACUGAUAGUCUUGAGUUUGGUUAAGGUAGGCGGAAUGUGUAAUGUAGCGGUGAAAUGCUUAGAUAUUACACAGAACACCGAUUGCGAAGGCAGCUUACUAAUCCAUCAUUGACGCUGAGGCACGAAAGCGUGGGGAUCAAACAGGA